rnacentral:rRNA from 1 species
CGGCGGACGGGUGAGUAACACGUGGGUAACCUGCCCAAGAGACUGGGAUAACACCUGGAAACAGAUGCUAAUACCGGAUAACAACACUAGACGCAUGUCUAGAGUUUGAAAGAUGGUUCUGCUAUCACUCUUGGAUGGACCUGCGGUGCAUUAGCUAGUUGGUAAGGUAACGGCUUACCAAGGCAAUGAUGCAUAGCCGAGUUGAGAGACUGAUCGGCCACAUUGGGACUGAGACACGGCCCAAACUCCUACGGGAGGCAGCAGUAGGGAAUCUUCCACAAUGGACGAAAGUCUGAUGGAGCAACGCCGCGUGAGUGAAGAAGGGUUUCGGCUCGUAAAGCUCUGUUGGUAGUGAAGAAAGAUAGAGGUAGUAACUGGCCUUUAUUUGACGGUAAUUACUUAGAAAGUCACGGCUAACUACGUGCCAGCAGCCGCGGUAAUACGUAGGUGGCAAGCGUUGUCCGGAUUUAUUGGGCGUAAAGCGAGUGCAGGCGGUUCAAUAAGUCUGAUGUGAAAGCCUUCGGCUCAACCGGAGAAUUGCAUCAGAAACUGUUGAACUUGAGUGCAGAAGAGGAGAGUGGAACUCCAUGUGUAGCGGUGGAAUGCGUAGAUAUAUGGAAGAACACCAGUGGCGAAGGCGGCUCUCUGGUCUGCAACUGACGCUGAGGCUCGAAAGCAUGGGUAGUGAACAGGAUUAGAUACCCUGGUAGUCCAU